GCGCACCAGUCGCGAAACCUCCGCAAUGCGGGAAACCGCGACGGGGGACCCCGAGUGCCGUGGCAACGCCACGGCUUUUCCGGAGUGUAAAAAGCUCCGGGAAUAAGGGCUGGGCAAGGCCGGUGGCAGCCGCCGCGGUAAUACCGGCGGCCCGAGUGGUGGCCGCUAUUAUUGGGCCCAAAGCGUCCGUAGCCGGGCCCGUAAGUCCCUGGCGAAAUCCCACGGCUCAACCGUGGGGCUUGCUGGGGAUACUGCGGGUCUUGGGACCGGGAGAGGCGGGGGGUACCCCUGGGGUAGGGGUGAAAUCCUAUAAUCCCAGGGGGACCGCCAGUGGCGAAGGCGCCCCGCUGGAACGGGUCCGACGGUGAGGGACGAAGGCCAGGGGAGC
rnacentral:rRNA from 1 species